UUCCCCAUCAAUGGGCGACCGCCAAUCGAACCCACAGUGUUCCGCUUACUGGGCAGAUGCCAUGUCCACUAGGCUAACCUGGA